rnacentral:rRNA from 1 species
GUGCGAAAGCAGAACUUAGUGAUCCGACCAUCCAUAGUGGUAUGGUGGAAGCUCAACGGAUAAAAGCUACUCUAGGGAUAACAGGCUGAUCCAGUCCAAGAGUCCACAUCGACGACUGGGUUUGGCACCUCGAUGUCGGCUCAUCACAUCCUGGGGGUGAAGAAGCUCCCAAGGGUUAGGCUGUUCGCCUAUUAAAGUGGUACGCGAGCUGGGUUCAAAACGUCGUGAGACAGUUUGGUCCUUAUCUGCUGUGGGCGUUCGAUACUUGAGAGGGUUCUCCGAUAGUACGAGAGGACCUCGGAGAAUAGGGCUCUGGUGUACCGUUGUGGUGUCAACUGCAUUGCCGGGUAGCUAAACCCUAGUUUGGAUAAGCGCUGAAGGCAUAUAAGCGCGAAGCCGUCCUCAAGAUUAGGUAUCGUUGCAGCGCAAGCUGCGAGAGGUUCGGGGGAGACUACCCCGCAUAUAGGGUACAGGUGUAAGGCCAGCAAUGGCUUCAGCCGAGUGCUACUAAUCAACC